rnacentral:rRNA from 1 species
UACGUAGGGUGCAAGCGUUAAUCGGAAUUACUGGGCGUAAAGCGUGCGCAGGCGGUUUUGUAAGUCUGUCGUGAAAGCCCCGGGCUCAACCUGGGAAUUGCGAUGGAGACUGCAAGGCUUGAAUCUGGCAGAGGGGGGUAGAAUUCCACGUGUAGCAGUGAAAUGCGUAGAUAUUGGAAAGACCACCGAUGGCGAAGGAACACUACUGGGAGAUUACUGACACUGAGAGACGAAAGCUAGGGGAGCAAACGGG